CAGUGAACCAUGAUCGUGCCACUGCACUCCAAUCUGAGCAACAGACAUGCUCCAACCUGAGCAAUAGAGACAUUGUCUGGAAAAAAAAAAAAAAAAUAUAUAUAUACACACACACACACACACACACACACACACUCCAAAUCAGACUCAGCAUAUACAUGUCCAUAAAUGUGCUAAUAUUCACUCUAGCCAGGUAGUCCUGGUUUUAAGUAUUCACACUAAAAUCCCUUGUAGGCCAAAUUGCUCAGGUGCUAUGCUAUAAGAGAUUACAGUUUAUCUUAUCCAAAGGCAGAAACAUUUAAUCUUCCUUUUUCCUUUGAUGGAAUUAUGUUCUUCCUUACCAUCAACACCUAUUCAUUCAUAGUACAGUUUUCUGUCUUAACUAUUAUUGGGUUACUAACAGGAGAACCCACUCUGUUCCAGAAAUUGCAUUGACAUUAGGAAUUAAGAAAAAAAAACCAUGGAGCCAUAUUCUCCAGAAGCUUACAUCUAAGGAGAUAGGUAAGUAGACAAUUUCAACAUAAUGCAUUAAGUGCUAUGAGAGUAGUAUGAUAGUGAUAGGUGCUAUACAAGACAAAGGUUCUAGGUUAAUUGCUUUGAUAAAACUGCCACCCUUUAACAAGGUUAAACUGGAUUCUUUAAUGUAGACCUUAUUGAGAGUUUCUAAUAUGUUACUGUGCUUUGUGAAUCUUCGUGUGUGGAGUAGAGAUCCAGUCUGCCAAGUUCUGCAAACUCAUCUGACAACAGAACUCUUUUUCAAUGAAAUAUCUCAAGGGAUUUGUGCUCCAUGGGACAGAAGAUGAGAAGGGCUGACACAAGAUUCUCACCUAGUGAAAAAAAAUUUCUAAAGCAAGAAAGCAUUCAGGUGGGCUGAAGAACUGACCCAGAUUAAAGUGGAUGAAAGACACAUGACAACCAAAUGCUACCAGGGAUGCAAGAUUCAAUCUUGGUCCAGAAGAACAAAUAGCUGUAAAGGUUGUUAUUGGGGCAAUUGGAAACAUUGGUGUAUGGACUGAAAAAAAACAGUUCACUCAAGUAAGGAAAACCUUCAAAACUGCUCUCAGGAAAGGGGCCACAGAGAUCCUCUUUAAGAGAACUUGCUGAAGAAACCAUCAUUGACUGGGUCUCCAGCCACCUCACCUUUGGACCUGCAGGAGAGUGUACCAAGACCACACCACUCUGGGCUGCUCCCAGCUCCCUGCUCCAGAGUGACCAAGCACAGCAGAGGGGCAGGCCAUUCUGUCUGCCAUGGGGCCCUUCAGCAGCUCCCGUUGGCCCAGGUUCUGCUCUUCCUCAGGGGUCAGGUUUGCAUCCUGAGCUGAAAGUUUUCCCUACCCAGGGCAUCUUUAUGACUUUUGUGGGCCCCAGGCCCUUUUGCUGUGGUGGGCCCAUUCCUCCAUUUAAAAAAAAAAAAACAACCCUUAACAUUUUGGUUUACUACUGCAUUGGCAUAAAGAGGUAUAUGAUGUAGGCUUGAAAUUAUUAUAUUCAUUUUACCCUUCCAGUUUUAAAAUAAAAUUAAAAUAUUGUCAUGGACCCCAAAAAUGCCAUGGCUCCUAGGCACUAUGGCUGCUGUGCCCAAUAAGGACAUUGGGCCUGUCCCCAGCUAGUCUGGCUCCUUCCUCCUCAGAGCCUUCACAGCCAUCUCUCCCAGGAAAUCUCUUUCCCACCUAGUCCCAGCUUACUGUCUGCUUCCACAGCCAGCCUUGUUGUAAAUUCACCUUCCUUGCAGAUGACAGACAUCUGAGAGUUGUCUUUAAGGAUAGUAACUCACCUGCUCUGUGGACAAUAUUUUGUGCAUUUGCAGUCAAAGUGCCUCACUAACAACUUGUGCUCAGGACGCUAGUCCAAGUGAACCACAGUCACAUUUCUGAUCCAAAAAUCAUCCAGCAAACACAACAUGAUCUGCCCAAAGUGAGUCAGAGAGGCUGCUGGGAACAAGACCAAGACUGCUGACUCCAAGUCUCAUUCGGAACCACCAGACUAGACCACAUGCCCUUGCCCCCUUUUUCUUUCCAUCAUUCAUUUUUUGCCAAAGAUGGGUUCUAUUUACUGACAAUUUGAGCAAUGUUAAGCUUCUCAUUAGGGAACAAAAGGUAACUCAUCAUGAGUUUAUUAUCUCAGUUGAACUGGUAGGGGUGAUUCAGAAAUUGUCAUUCAGGUGUCUGCCCCAGGAGAAGAGGCUGGAGGAAUGACAGCCAAACCAGGCGGAGUGUGUUAUCAGAUACAAUCUGUUCUGAGGAAGAGGAGUCAAUGGGUAGGUGGCUGCAAGUGCCAUAGUAUUCUCCUUUCUAAAAACAAUGAAGGUAGCCUGGAGUUCUUGGGAAAUUUUGUCCAGUGCCUGAUAUUAGGAGAAUUUUCCUGCCUAGUUCAAUGAGCGCAACACUCCUAUCUGGCAUAGGGUUCUGGAGCUUCCAGAACCUCUGGAAAAGGCCUUUUUUUUUUUUUCAUCAGAUCUUUAAGAUUCGAGUAGGAUGAAACUAGGUAUAGAUGGACUUUAAGUAGACAGAAUCCUUUAAUCUGCCAAAUCACUGGAGACCCUGCAGGCCACAGAGAUUUUUAAAGUAUUAAAACUUGAACUGAAAAUGAAAGAGGUUAUAUGGGGGGAAUGGGUUCCCCCAUAAGAUUAAGAAUUGAGAAGCUUAUUGCCACUCCUCUACAGUAUGUGCUGCUUUGCCAUACACAGAGUGAAAAUCAAUCUAUUAUUACCUAAUUCUGGAUUAUACACAAAAAGCCCGAGGUUUCUAGGCAAAAAACAUUUCAAAUUCAGCUGAAACAAAGAUCACAAUUCUCAGUCAUGCCGCCAGUGCUCAGGCCUCUUCUGGGAUGGAGCCUGCGGUGCUGGUGUAUGCACACUUGCUCCUGAAGAGGCUGUCCAUUCCUUUCUUGCAGCAGCCUUCUGUAUUAGCUGAACUUUUCAUGUGGAACCAGUGGCCCCUGGUAGUCAGCCAUUUCCCCUUGUAUUAGGGAAAGAACUUUAAAGGCGGUUUCUGAAUGUUUAUUUUCAAGCAGUCUGGCUCACCAGCAUUCCCCCAAGACUGCCCUUGGCUUGGCCGUGGUGCCAGAGGCAUUCUCUGACUCAGCUGUGAUGCGGUCCUGUUGGCCACAUUUGCACUCCAAUUGUGUUGUCUGCUCCAGUGUUGCUGGUUGUCUGGACAAGCUGUCUCCCCAGUAGGGCAGACAACCUGGUCUGAAGAGAUGUAUGCCAGAGGGAAAUACCCCUGGUCUGCUGCCAUGGUGAGUAGAUGGCACCCAAAGAGAAUGAGUUACGAUGCGUGUUUUUCCACCCAAUAAGUCUGACAGUAUCUUCACGAGCCUUUAGUUGUAAGGGUUUUGGUGGCCCUUACCAUCAUAAAGUCAGACUCUAGUCUUUUUAUACAGCUUUCAAGGAUGAUGUAAACAUGAAUGAAUAUUACGUGAGACUUCUCGUAUCUGUGCUGAGACCUCAAAGCCCCAAACAAUAAGUGACGACAACCUCUAUUUUCUAAAGAGAGGUGCUAGACCGUCAAUAUGCUAAGUGGCAACCCCUGGCACCUACCCCGGCUCUACCAGUGUUAGCCCGUCUCUCCCCUCUAGCCUGUGCAUAUGAGAAGGCUCGAGAUGAAUCAGAGAGAUUGGAGAUGGGGUUUCUAUAAAGAGCGUUGUCACAGAACCGCCCUGCUAUGUGUUUCCUUUUGACCUCUCCAGGGAAGGCAAGGGGAUUGCUUCCCCUUUCUUACCUUGUCUAAAGGAGAGGCCUUAAGGGAACCACUCAUGGAAGAGGUAGAGGAAGGAAACUGCCAUCUAACCUCAUCCCCUCCCCUAUGUGCAGAAAUUUCUGAGCUCUGCAAUUGCUCUGAACCUUGAGAUGAAGGGGGUCAGAGUUCUUAAGAAAGCUUGACCAGUGAUACUGGAGUGUGGUGUGAUGCAGAGAUGGAGCCUGGCACUGGUGCAUACCUCUAAAGGCAAGAAGCUGACCCUAGGGACCUGUGGGGGAAGAGUAGAGAAAAAGGAGUUUGCUGCCAGUGAACUGCACUUCCAGAGUUUGAGGGGGCAAUUUAGAAGGCAGCUGGGCUACACUACCUUAAAAGAACUCUUCUCAAGAGAACUGCCUGCCAGUGCGGUAAUUCCAUUAGAAGGGAGCUGGUGGGGCAUACCAUGACUUAUAGGAGCUAAGAAGGAUUCAUAGAUGGUCAGCCAGAGAGUUGCUCAUCCCUGUCUGGCAACACUAAAGUGGGAUCCCCCAUUGGCCAUGACAGGAAUGCCAGAAUUUGGCCAUGUGCUGUAUGAAGGGCAUCACCUCUAGAUUAAAUAGCAACAGUCAAGUGAAACUUUUGUCCCUGGCCUUUGCCUUUCUGUUCCAUCCCCACCCCGCCUAUUGCCUCCCAACCCUGAAGCAGCCAGAAGCCAGUAAGAGGGAGAAGAGGUAGGGAAGAAAAAGGUGAAGUAUGAAGAGACAAAGCACAAACCUUUCUCUCUACAGCUGUUGUGUGGCCCAGUCUGUGGGAAGAUCUAAAGUAAAUGAGACAUUGCAGUUGUGACUUGACUGAACCUAAUCCUUGAAAGUGAAGAUGUUUAUUAAUACCUGAAAGUAACUGGAAAGCCAUAGCAAGUCAUCCAAGGGUAGAGAAAGGAAAUUCAGCAGACCUUGCACAAAGAAAAUGGUAAGUAAAUUAAGAAAGCUGCUUCCCUACCGCGUGCUUCCACCAUGCACCAAAUGGAUCAAUGCAGAGAGUAAAUAAAUAGGUCCUGUUAAGACGACCCUUGCUCAUUCCAAACUGAAAUGAGUAGAGUGUCAUGAUCAUGGAGAGAUGAUCCAUCCAUCUCGUGAUGUUUGAUGGAAUAAAAUAACUCUAACCUUAUUUUAGGUUUUGAAACCUUGUCCAGCUUCUUCCAGAGCAACACAACAAGCAAGCUUGGUUUUUUAAAUCUCAGCAAAGAGAUGCAUUUCCCUCAUUAUUUUUCCGGCAAUCACCUAUUUUUUUCUUUUUUUCUUUUUUUCCGCUAAGGUAGGUAGAAAACAGUAAUGAUCUGAGCUGUCAGUAGGUUACCUCCUGAAAGAUUUUGUUUCACUUCAUGAAAUAUGAAUAAAGAAAGAAACCCAUAUGUGAUGAGUCAGAAUUAAGAAAACACAGUAUAAAAAUCACAUCCCCUCCAGUAUUCCAAAGAUGUCCCACCACAAUUCUUACUGCAUUAUUUUAGUCAUUUCUAUCAUUAGACAAUAAUUUGGGGGCACGAUGCUCAUUUAAAAACCUUGACUCAAUGUUUGGGGCAGAUUGUUUGGAACAUACAAGGAAAUGAAGGAAAACUCAUAUCCACACUGUAGUUUUCAGAAAUUACAUUCACUGUUUGCUUUUCUACAACCCAAAGACUAGCACUCUCCUGGGAAGACUUCCCUCAACCCUCUCUGCAGUUCUGAAAUUCCUAAGUAGACAAAGAGCUCCCCUUCUACAUGCUGUUUCUCCAGUUUUUACCUGACAGCAAAGGCAAAAGCUGCAUCCAGUAUAUGAACGAAUAUGAGAUGAACUCACAUAGAGCAAAAUCUGCUGUUGCAGGCAGACAUCUGAACCAUUUAAUCUUAACUUUGCCACCCAAAUUGAUAGAGCUCCAGGGAAAUCAGUAUACCCAGUAGAAAGCAAAUAUAAGAGAGGCAACCUCUUUCCUUUUUAGAGCAUUGGAGGGUUUGUUUUGCUUUGUUUUAAAGAAUGAUACUGACCAAAUCUUUGAGUCCUAUGGGCAGAGCUUUUCAAAUAAAGUAUUUUAGAAUCUUUUGAACUCAUCAUUUUUAGCCCCAUCCUCUAUAGGGGAAAGACUUACAGAGUACUCCAGGCUUAGAGGAGUGUGUGUGUGUAUGUGUGUUGAGUGGGGAUGUUGGCUAAUGAAUGGCCAAAAUAUUAGUCCAAAGGUUGAAGAGGACUUGGAGUGAAAUAACAGGAAAGAUUGGAAUGCAGGCAAUCAGGCUUCCUGCUAAUCAUAAGUAGGAAUGUAGCCUGCGACCUAGGGGUUCCUCUGCCAUCAUCACAUACCUUGUGCUUCUCAAAUGCUGUCCAAUCAUAAAAUAAACCAUCCACUCUCAUGCCUCUACACUUUUGCACAUGCUGCGUUUGUCUCCCCCUUAUCCAUUUCUUCAAAUUCCCGUUCUGCUAUUCCUUCCUCAAGAGAGCCUUCUCUGUACCCCAAAACCAAGGUAGUCUUUUGUCUGUGGUUUCAUAUCAUUUAUUUCAUACCUCUAUUAGUCAUGCAUUACUGUGCAUGCUUGCAAGUUUAUGUAGCAUUUUGGUAUUCAGAUAAUUUGAGAAAUGCCAUAAUGUACAUGAGCACAGAACUAUAUUAAAGGUGGUGAGAAAUCCUGAAAUAAAGAAAUCUGUUUAGCUUUCUUUAAUGCAGGGUUUCCCCAGUUUAUUUGACCACAUAUCACCCUUGUGCUCCAUAUAAGGAUUAGGGAAGGACAUUUUGGGAAAAGUUGGUUCCUAUAAACUCUUUGAGGUUAAUGAUUUUUUUCUUUUUUUUAAGCAUCUUUUUUUUUUUUUAAACUAUACUUUGAG